ACAUCUAGAUUCGGAUCCGCGGCCGCAGAGUUUGAUCAUGGCUCAGAACGAACGCUGGCGGCAGGCCUAACACAUGCAAGUCGAGCGAGGACUUCGGUCCUAGCGGCGGACGGGUGAGUAACGCGUGGGAAUAUGCCCUUUUCUACGGAAUAGCCUCGGGAAACUGGGAGUAAUACCGUAUACGCCCUACGGGGGAAAGAUUUAUCGGAGAAGGAUUAGCCCGCGUUGGAUUAGGUAGUUGGUGGGGUAAUGGCCUACCAAGCCGACGAUCCAUAGCUGGUUUGAGAGGAUGAUCAGCCACACUGGGACUGAGACACGGCCCAGACUCCUACGGGAGGCAGCAGUGGGGAAUCUUAGACAAUGGGGGAAACCCUGAUCUAGCCAUGCCGCGUGAGCGAUGAAGGCCUUAGGGUUGUAAAGCUCUUUCAGCUGGGAAGAUAAUGACGGUACCAGCAGAAGAAGCCCCGGCUAACUCCGUGCCAGCAGCCGCGGUAAUACGGAGGGGGCUAGCGUUGUUCGGAAUUACUGGGCGUAAAGCGCACGUAGGCGGAUCGGAAAGUU
rnacentral:rRNA from 1 species